GUGUUUGUCAUAGGACUUUUGGCUAAGAUCAAGUGUAGUAUCUGUUCUUAGCAGGUUAAUGUCUGAUAUGUCCCUUAUCAGGGGACCAUAUGUAUCUUUUCUUAUAUUGUGGGAUAUUAUACUUGUCAUGAGAUACUUGUAUUUAACCCAUAUGUUUAGCACUGUGUGAAAUAGUAUUUGCAUAAAUGUACUUCACUCA